rnacentral:rRNA from 1 species
UACAGAGGGUGCGAGCGUUGUCCGGAAUCACUGGGCGUAAAGGGCGCGUAGGCGGCUCGGUAAGCGUGCGGUGAAAGCCCGGGGCUCAACCCCGGGUCGGCCGUGCGAACUGCAGAGCUGGAGCACUGUAGAGGCAGGCGGAAUUCCGGGUGUAGCGGUGGAAUGCGUAGAGAUCCGGAAGAACACCGGUGGCGAAGGCGGCCUGCUGGGCAGUUGCUGACACUGAGGCGCGACAGCGUGGGGAGCAAACAGG